rnacentral:rRNA from 1 species
CAUAUAGGUUGUAGGGAACUGAAAAGGGACCGACCCUUCGGGGAGCCUAUACAGGUGUUGCAUGGCUGUCGUCAGCUCGUGUCGUGAGAUGUUCGGUUAAGUCCGCUAACGAGCGCAACCCUCGUCGUAUGUUAUAUGUGUCAUACGAGACUGCCGGUAAAAAGCCGGAGGAAGGUGAGGAUGAUGUCAAGUCAGCAUGACCUUUAUAUCCAGGGCUACACACACGCUACAAUGGUCUGUACAAUGGGUAGCCAAGCCGCGAGGCGGAGCCAAUCCUGAAAGCAGGCCUCAGUUCAGAUUGCAGUCUGCAACUCGACUGCAUGAAGCCGGAGUUGCUAGUAACCGCAGGUCAGCAAUACUGCGGUGAAUACGUUCCCGGGUCUU